UACGGGGGGUGCAAGCGUUACUCGGAAUUACUGGGCGUAAAGGGUGCGUAGGUGGUUUGAUAAGUUAUCUGUAAAAGCCCUGGGCUCAACCUGGGAAGGCCAGAUAAAACUGUUUAACUAGAGUAUGGGAGAGGGUAGUGGAGUUUCCGGUGUAGCGGUGAAAUGCGUAGAGAUCGGAAGGAACACCAGUGGCGAAGGCGGCUACCUGGCCUGAUACUGACACUGAAGCACGAAAGCGUGGGGAGCAAACGGG
rnacentral:rRNA from 1 species